rnacentral:rRNA from 1 species
UACGAAGGGGGCUAGCGUUGUUCGGAUUUACUGGGCGUAAAGCGCACGUAGGCGGAUCGUUAAGUCGGGGGUGAAAUCCUGGAGCUCAACUCCAGAACUGCCUUCGAUACUGGCGAUCUAGAGUCCGGAAGAGGUGAGUGGAACUCCUAGUGUAGAGGUGGAAUUCGUAGAUAUUGGGAAGAACACCGGUGGCGAAGGCGGCGCUCUGGACCGAGACUGACGCUGAGGCACGAAAGCGUGGGUAGCAAACAGG